AUGAUGAGCUUGGGAAUGUCUUUUGGAAAACUUACAAAGAAUUGGCUCCACAUUAAGAGAAGAGCGGGCGGGAUGGUUAAAGUGUCCCUUGUACAGAUCAGGCUUUCUCUGAGGUUGUCAAGGGCCUUGACUCAUUUCCUUUUUCUUAACUCCUUUUCUUUUGCCCAAGGUUUUUGGACAGAGCCAUAUAGAAAGUCUUGUCUGUGGACAUUUCAGAAUUUGAAAGCUGCCUGUCUAGAGCGUACUGAUGGGGUUCCUGAGCAGAAGGGAAAAUGAGGCUUGAAGAUUGGAGAAGGGGAGAAAUAUGCAUGGCAUUCCCAACUUACAUGGAACUCUAAAAGACGCAGCAGAUAAAGGCAAGAGGUAAGAAGUUACUUGGUCUCCCUUCCCCCACGGCCCUGAGUAUCCCCAAAGAGCUAAAAGCUCAAGGGAACAGUUUGAAAUCACGAGGCUAGAUAACCUUUUGGGUUCUUUCCAAGUCUUACUUCUGCCACUAGGAGUAAGACUGAGGUAGAAAAGGUUUGUAUCCAUUUUACAGCCUGUGAACCCCUGUAUGUAAUUUUAUACAGACCUACACAGCACACAGCAUUCAGCUAAUACAGAAUAUAGAAUACUGCCACACCACAUGUGGCAAGCACCCUUUGAAUUUCAACAUAUAUUUUAGAUUAAAAAAUAAAAUAAGAAAACCAUUACCAGAAGGUACUCUUCUCUCAGUCACUUUAUGGAUACACUUCAAAAUAUAGACUUGAUGGUGAAUUAAAAUUGAAUGCAAAUAUUGUCACUGAGAAGUUGUCCAUUUAUACAGUUUUCUAAGACUCUUUUAGUUUUUAAUGGGCAAGGUUUUGCUAAAAACAAGAAGUGUUAAUUACAUAAAUAUGCGUAUUCUUUUCAAAGCAUUACACUAUAUUAUGGUUAAAAAACAAUAGAGAAGUGAAUGCAGAAAUACUUCAACAGAAAUACUGUUUCUUGAACAGCCUUUAAAAUUAUGACAUGUUUAUUGGGAGAAUACAUUACUCACGACAGGGUUACAAAAGCAAUAUUAACCUUGAAAUUUAAUAGCAAAGUCAGACAUUAAAGAUCAGUACCACACGUGGUGACAGAGGUACUUUUGUUUAGAUUGUACAUAGGAUAAGACAGAUAUUUAAUGCUACAUUAAGAUGUAGGUAAAUAAAGGGUCCUUUAGAAGAUUCAUAACACAUGCAUCAUGAUUUUUAGCAGAUUGUGCUAAAGAUAGAAUUCUUAGAAAUGAAAAACCUUGUGCUUUAUUUUGCUUCUGUUAUUCUGGAUACUGUUGCUUUUGUAAUUUUGUACAGAGUGUCAGACAUUAAAUUUGCCAUUAAAUAUAUAUAUAUCUAUCUAUCUUUUGAAGGCAGGCAUUUGUUACAUUGACAAAUUACCAAACACUUUAGUUGUAUCUAAUGUGUGACUAAUGAGUUUUUGUAAUCUAUAAUCAGUGAGGAUGUUUGCUUCUGCAAAAAAUAUAAUUUAUCCAAAAAUAGCAUUGAUAUUAAGUCAAGAACUACAAAGUAGUGG
rnacentral:lncRNA from 1 species